rnacentral:rRNA from 1 species
GGUUAAGCGACUAAGCGUACACGGUGGAUGCCCUGGCAGUCAGAGGCGAUGAAGGACGUGCUAAUCUGCGAUAAGCGUCGGUAAGGUGAUAUGAACCGUUAUAACCGGCGAUUUCCGAAUGGGGAAACCCAGUGUGUUUCGACACACUAUCAUUAACUGAAUCCAUAGGUUAAUGAGGCGAACCGGGGGAACUGAAACAUCUAAGUACCCCGAGGAAAAGAAAUCAACCGAGAUUCCCCCA